GGAGGAUCCGAGCGUUAUCCGGAUUUAUUGGGUUUAAAGGGAGCGUAGAUGGAUGUUUAAGUCAGUUGUGAAAGUUUGCGGCUCAACCGUAAAAUUGCAGUUGAUACUGGAUAUCUUGAGUGCAGUUGAGGCAGGCGGAAUUCGUGGUGUAGCGGUGAAAUGCUUAGAUAUCACGAAGAACUCCGAUUGCGAAGGCAGCCUGCUAAGCUGCAACUGACAUUGAGGCUCGAAAGUGUGGGUAUCAAACAGGAUUAGAUACCCUGGUAGUCCACACGGUAAACGAUGAAUACUCGCUGUUUGCGAUAUACAGCAAGCGGCCAAGCGAAAGCGUUAAGUAUUCCACCUGGGGAGU
rnacentral:rRNA from 1 species